rnacentral:rRNA from 1 species
CUUAGUAGCGGCGAGUGAAGCGGCAAAAGCUCAAAUUUGAAAUCUGGCGCCUUCGGUGUCCGAGUUGUAAUUUGAAGAUUGUAACCUUGGGGUUGGCUCUUGUCUAUGUUUCUUGGAACAGGACGUCACAGAGGGUGAGAAUCCCGUGCGAUGAGAUGCCCAAUUCUAUGUAAGGUGCUUUCGAAGAGUCGAGUUGUUUGGGAAUGCAGCUCUAAGUGGGUGGUAAAUUCCAUCUAAAGCUAAAUAUUGGCGAGAGACCGAUAGCGAACAAGUACAGUGAUGGAAAGAUGAAAAGAACUUUGAAAAGAGAGUGAAAAAGUACGUGAAAUUGUUGAAAGGGAAGGGUUUGAGAUCAGACUCGAUAUUUUGUGAGCCUUGCCUUCGUGGCGGGGUGACCCGCAGCUUAUCGGGCCAGCAUCGGUUUGGGCGGUAGGAUAAUGGCGUAGGAAUGUGACUUUACUUCGGUGAAGUGUUAUAGCCUGCGUUGAUGCUGCCUGCCUAGACCGAGGACUGCGAUUUUAUCAAGGAUGCUGGCAUAAUGAUCCCAAACCGCCCGU